UUAUGGUCAAAUCAUGCUGAAAGCACUGGUUCUCAUUUGAUCAUCAAAGUUAAGCAGUAUUAAGCCUGAUCAAUACUUAGACAGGGAACCACUUGGGAACACCUGG